rnacentral:rRNA from 1 species
GAUGAACGCUGGCGGCGUGCCUAAUACAUGCAAGUCGAGCGAACAGACGAGGUGCUUUCUCCUCUGACGUUAGCGGCGGACGGGUGAGUAACACGUGGAUAACCUACCUAUAAGACUGGGAUAACUUCGGGAAACCGGAGCUAAUACCGGAUAAUAUAUUGAACCGCAUGGUUCAAUAGUGAAAGACGGUUUUGCUGUCACUUAUAGAUGGAUCCGCGCCGCAUUAGCUAGUUGGUAAGGUAACGGCUUACCAAGGCGACGAUGCGUAGCCGCCCUGAGAGGGUGAUCGGCCACACUGGCACUGAGACACGGUCCAGACUCCUACGGGAGGCAGCAGUAGGGAAUCUUGCACAAUGGGCGAAAGCCUGACGGAGCAACGCCGCGUGAGUGAUGAAGGUCUUCGGAUCGUAAAACUCUGUUAUUAGGGAAGAACAAGUGUGUACGUAACUAUGCACGUCUUGACGGUACCUAAUCAGAAAGCCCCGGCUAACUACGUG